CCUACGGGGGGCAGCAGUGGGGAAUAUUGCACAAUGGGGGAAACCCUGAUGCAGCAACGCCGCGUGAGUGAAGAAGGAUUUCGGUAUGUAAAGCUCUAUCAGCAGGGAAGAAGAAAGACGGUACCUGACUAAGAAGCCCCGGCUAACUACGUAGCAGCAGCCGCGGUAAUACGUAGGGGGGAAGCGUUAGCCGGAGUUACUGGGUGUAAAGGGAUCGUAGAGGGUUGGGCAAGUCUGAAGUGAAAGCCCGUGGCUCAACCGCGGAACUGCAUUGGAAACUGGAUAGCUUGAGUACUGUAGAGGCAGGCGGAAUUCCUAGUGUAGCGGUGAAAUGCGUAGAGAUUAGGAGGAACACCAGUGGCGAAGGCGGCCUGCUGGACAGAAACUGACGUUGAGGCUCGAAAGCGUGGGGAGCAAACAGGAUUAGAUACCCCUGUAGUC
rnacentral:rRNA from 1 species